ACAAAAUAAAUAAACAGGAUGUGAUUGAAGGCUCCGCGCGAAGGGAAAGACCUAACACGCAAAUUGACCAUUUAAAAGGGCAAGGCGCAGGUCUGGGUAUUCCAACAGGUUAGUGCGCGGAUCCUUAAAGCAUUUUAAAACCCUUUUUCCAUCCUUUUUUUCCCCAAAUGUUGCCAACAUUCCAAACAAAGAACCACAGCCCCAAAAUUAAAACUGCUAGGGUUCUCAACAUCUGCCAGAUUCACCAUUUUGUUUAGCAAUCGACAGUAUACCACCAUGAAUAGAUCCAUGACUCAUCCAUGAAAAUGUGGCUCAGUUGUACGGAGAAGAUGACUCGGGGAUCUCACAUGGGUGGCCGUUCCUCUGGUGCCCUUCCAGUGCCUUCCAAGCGCUUCCGGAAUUCUUGACUGCUGGAAUUCUUUUUCCUUUUUGGGCUCUUUCGAAUUUGGGCUAGAUUUAGGGUAUGAAUUUAUUAUAAUUGGUUUUAGGACUUAUUGGGUCAUGGGUCAUUUUGGUAAUUGGGUUGGGUGUUUAUUUUAUGUAUUUUGAAAAUUGUAAAUGGACUUUUUUUUGGGACUAUUUAGUCCUGAACUUUAUUUAUUUAUUUGGGUUUACUUAUUUGCAAAUAAAUAAAA